AGACAUUGUGCUGAUCUGCGCUAUUCAAGAUGUCCCAAAAGUCUCUGGGUCUUUCAUUGGGUUUGGCUAUUUUCUUAUCACAAUGGGUCCCUUCCCGGCAGCCGCCCCCAGUUUUCAUUACAGCAACUUCUUCAAGUAUAACUACAAGUAGUACUGCUGCAGCUACUGUUAUUAAUACUGCUGUUACUACUACUCCUGCUACAGCUGCUGCUACUAUUGCUACUACUACUCCUGCUACUACUUCUGCUACUACC